UAUUGUGUGUACAUUGCCGGGGAAAAAACAUUUAAUCAGUUUAAAAUAAGUCGGUAACGUAACAACGUGGAAAAAGUAACGGGGUCUGAAUACUUUCCCGAAUGCACUGCAUUUUCACCCAUCAGACUAUUCUCCAUUUAACCUUGUCUUUACUAAUAUGUAAAAGUAGUUCAGAUUUAGAAUGGCCCAUUAUCAAAUGGCCAGGAACAGGGGAAAGAGAAAAUAUGGGCUCUGAAACUCUGUUCCUGUAUCUACUCAGUACUCUGUGUGCCGUGGGCUCUCCAACCCUGUUCCUGCAGCUACCCAGUACUCUGUAUGUCAUGGUCUCUCCAACCCUGUUCCUGUAUCUACCCAGUACUCUGUAUGCCGUGGUUUCUACAGCCCUGUUCCUGCGGCUACCCAGUACUCUGUAUGCCGUGGGCUCUCCAGCCCUGUUCCUGCAGCUACCCAGUACUCUGUAUGUCAUGGUCUCUCCAACCCUGUUCCUGCAGCUACCCAGUACUCUGUAUGUCAUGGUCUCUCCAGCCCUGUUCCUGCACGUACCCAGUACUCUGUAUGUCAUGGGCUCUCCAGCCCUGUUCCUGCACGUACCCAGUACUCUGUAUGUCAUGGUCUCUCCAGCCCUGUUCCUGCACGUACCCAGUACUCUGUAUGUCAUGGUCUCUCCAGCCCUGUUCCUGCACGUACCCAGUACUCUGUAUGUCAUGGUCUCUCCAGCCCUGUUCCUGCACGUACCCAGUACUCUGUAUGUCGUGGGCUCUCCAGCCCUGUUCCUGCACGUACCCAGUACUCUGUAUGCCGUGGGCUCUCCAGCCCUGUUCCUGCACGUACCCAGUACUCUGUAUGUCGUGGGCUCUCCAGCCCUGUUCCUGCACGUACCCAGUACUCUGUAUGCCGUGGGCUCUCCAGCCCUGUUCCUGCACGUACCCAGUACUCUGUAUGUCAUGGGCUCUCCAGCCCUGUUCCUGCAGCUACCCAGUACUCUGUAUGUCAUGGUCUCUCCAGCCCUGUUCCUGCAGCUACCCAGUACUCUGUAUGCCGUGGGCUCUCCAACCCUGUUCCUGCAGCUACCCAGUACUCUGUAUGCCGUGGGCUCUCCAACCCUGUUCCUGCAGCUACCCAGUACUCUGUAUGCCGUGGGCUCUCCAACCCUGUUCCUGUAUCUACCCAGUACUCUGUAUGUCAUGGGCUCUCCAACCCUGUUCCUGCAGCUACCCAGUACUCUGUAUGUCAUGGUCUCUCCAACCCUGUUCCUGUAUCUACCCAGUACUCUGUAUGUCAUGGGCUCUCCAACCCUGUUCCUGUAUCUACCCAGUACUCUGUAUGCCGUGGGCUCUCCAACCCUGUUCCUGCAGCUACCCAGUACUCUGUAUGUCAUGGGCUCUCCAACCCUGUUCCUGCAGCUACCCAGUACUCUGUAUGUCAUGGUCUCUCCAGCCCUGUUCCUGCAGCUACCCAGUACUCUGUAUGUCAUGGGCUCUCCAACCCUGUUCCUGCAGCUACCCAGUACUCUGUAUGCCGUGGGCUCUCCAACCCUGUUCCUGCACGUACCCAGUGCUUUUCACAAUAAAGCAUAUGUCAUGUAACUGUUGACAGGCCUUCUCUCUGCACGCUGGAGAAAGGAACGAAGAAGAAGAGAGGAGGAGACUGAAACGUACGGUGGUGAGAUAUUGUAGCUAAAGGUAAUGUGUCAGCCUAUUAAUUAUGAUUUUUUUUAACGUUAUCUAUUACUAGGCUAUUCAAAAUCAAA
ensembl:lncRNA